AUAUUGACCAAAAUAUGAGAACAGAUCACAUCUGUUAACCUUAGAUAACCUUCAUAUUUCAAAGAACAAAGUAGCCUACCCAAAGACCAAAUAUCUGACUUGGAACCAUAAGGUAUAUCAGCAAGAAGCUCAGGGCACAUGUAACUGGGGGUUCCAACAACAGAAGAAGCAAAGUCAUCAGAAGUCAACAUUUUAGCAAGACCAAAAUCACCUAGGCGUAUGUCUUGAUCUCUUGUCAAAAAUAUAUUUGAACAUUUGACAUCACGAUGAAGUAUAUGGUUGGCAUGCAAGUAAUCCAGUGCCAUUAGUAGUUGAACAAGCCACUUGCAAAGUCUCUCCUCAGGAAAAUGAACACCAUUAGCCUUUUUUAUAGCUUCUGCCAUAUCUCCACCUUCACAGUACCCUAUGAUAAUGCAGACAUAGCAUCCCUUUUCUACCCAUGAAUCCUUGUACUCCACAAUGAAAGGAUUUCUUACUUUUGAAAUAAGUUCCAUCUGCAGUAAAGAACCCAAUAGCAUCCUAAAUUAUAAAGAUAAAAAUUUAGGUAUCAAUAGAUACAACAUCAAGCAAAUCAGUGUUUUGAUAUUUAAUCAUGAUAACUGCAAACAAAGUUAAGCAGGUAAAUAGUGUUAAGCAUCACUUCCCUUUCCAAUGAUGUCUACUGUUCUCAACCUUUAUAUUUCUUGCAAAAGGACAAUUAUUCAAUGUCAAUUUUUUUCUAAAUCCUGAAUGAAGAUAAAGCUCAAUCCAAUAACCUCCUGGUGGGCAGACCUGCGGGCUCUAUCAGUCUGACGAGCCAAACGGAUCUUUUUCAUUACGUACUUCUUCUUUUCAUGUCUUUGCCUCACAAGAAGAGCCGAACCAAAGGAACCUUUGCCUAUCUGCUCUAGAAUUUCAUAUUGCUCCAUUGUCAGUUCUAUGAACCCCCUCCCCCUUCCUUUGGACCUUCAAAAGAAUUUUAAACUCCUACCCAUCAUGGAUGUAGAAUCCCCAAAACUGUGAGAGAAAUGCACGUAGAGCUCACAACAGAUAGUUUCAUAAUCAGUGCGAAUGACUAAAUGGUUACAGGGCAAAUUGUUGAUUGUCCAGUCCAAAACCCAAAAAUGCAAGUCCACGUGAUUAAGUCCCAAAUAAACCAACUUUUUUCCCUUCCAAAUAUACGAGACAAAUAUCCAUUGAAGGGUUCCACAUGAUCACAUCCCAUAAGAAGCAGAAAUUGCACAAACCACAAGCGAAGUCUCCAAGAAUCCACCCCAGUUAACCAAGAAGCCCACACUAUCCAAAAACUAAAUAUUUAAUGAAAGAAAGAGUAAACAAUUUGGAAAUGAUUUCUUGCACUUCAAAUUCGAACAAGAAAACCGGAUAACAGCAUUAAGAAUUCAUAAGCAAACAGAAGAACUAUUGAAGAAACUGAAUGCAAAGUUGCAAACACGACAAAACAAAUUAUGAAAAAAGAUAAACAAACAAUAAAGUAAAGUGAAAUAAUAAAGCCAAAAGACAAGGAACGGAACUCAAAAAUUACAUGCAAAAGAAAAUGAAUUAUUCCUGGAAAAAAUCAAAGGCAAACAGG
rnacentral:misc_RNA from 1 species